rnacentral:rRNA from 3 species
UACGUAGGGUGCAAGCGUUAAUCGGAAUUACUGGGCGUAAAGCGUGCGCAGGCGGCUUUGCAAGACAGAUGUGAAAUCCCCGGGCUUAACCUGGGAACUGCAUUUGUGACUGCAUGGCUGGAGUGCGGCAGAGGGGGAUGGAAUUCCGCGUGUAGCAGUGAAAUGCGUAGAUAUGCGGAGGAACACCGAUGGCGAAGGCAAUCCCCUGGGCCUGCACUGACGCUCAUGCACGAAAGCGUGGGGAGCAAACAGG